GAGGGCAAGUCUGGUGCCAGCAGCCGCGGUAAUUCCAGCUCCAAUAGCGUAUAUUAACGUUGUUGCAGUUAAAAAGCUCGUAGUUGAAGUGUGGGUGAUCGCUGUUGUGAGACUUCGGUCUCUCGAAAAUAAGUCACCCCCUUCCAGUAUCCAGUAGUGGGUAUUCAGUUACUUACUAUUGUGUGUUGGUCGUUUACUGUGAGAAAAUUAGAGUGUUCAAAGCAGGCGUUUGCUUGAAUAGAUUAGCAUGGAAUAAUAAUUGAAGGCUUUCGUGUUCGAUUUGAUUGGUUUGUUCAUGGAAGCAAGGUUAAAAGGAACAGUUGGGGGUAUUCAUAUUCACUAGUUAGAGGUGAAAUUCUCGGAUUUAUGGAAGAUGAACAA
rnacentral:rRNA from 1 species